rnacentral:tmRNA from 1 species
GGGGAUGCUAGGCAUCGAUAAUAAAAUACUUAAGAAAUAUUCAGGGCGUGCGUUUUAGCUGGCACGUUAAUCACGCUAAAAAAACAUAAGUGCAAAAAACUUAUUUGGCAAAGUUGCGUUUGCUUUUCGCAUUCCAGCUUUAGCCACUGUUACAGCCUAAUAGCCGUAACCAUCUGCCCGGUGAUUUCUAAUAUCCGCAAGCAGGUGUCAUUUAUUAGAAUAGGUUAAUUAAUUGUUCUAGUUAAUUAGCUGAAACUUUUAGAACUAGCUGUUAGCACUUUUGUUCGGCUUUGAUGCUAACAGUGAAAAAUUAAGCCGUGCUAAUCCUGUAAAUAUGUUUUUUAAGAUUUAUUAGACGUGGGUUCAACUCCCACCAUCUCCACAA